rnacentral:rRNA from 1 species
CUUCGGAGGGAGCGGCGGACGGGUUAGUAACCCGUGGGAACAUACCCUUUUCUAAUGAAUAGCCUCGGGAAACUGAGAGUAAUACCUUAUACGCCCUUCGGGGGAAAGAUUUAUCGGAGAAGGAUUGGCCCGCGUUAGAUUAGAUAGUUGGUGGGGUAAUGGCCUACCAAGUCUACGAUCUAUAGCUGGUUUUAGAGGAUGAUCAGCAACACUGGGACUGAGACACGGCCCAGACUCCUACGGGAGGCAGCAGUGGGGAAUCUUGGACAAUGGGCGCAAGCCUGAUCCAGCCAUGCCGCGUGAGUGAUGAAGGCCUUAGGGUCGUAAAGCUCUUUCGCCAGGGAUGAUAAUGACCGUACCUGGUAAAGAAACCCCGGCUAACUCCGUGCCAGCAGCCGCGGUAAUACGGAGGGGGUUAGCGUUGUUCGGAAUUACUGGGCGUAAAGCGCGCGUAGGCGGAUCAGAAAGUUAGGGGUGAAAUCCCAGGUCUCAACCCUGGAACUGCCUCUAAAACUCCUGGUCUANAGUUCGAGAGAGGUGAGUGGAAUUUCGAGUGUAGAUGUGAAAUUCGUAAUAUUCGGAGGAACACCAGUGGCGAANCGGCUCACUGGCUCGAUACUGACGCUGAAGUGCGAAAGUGUGGGGAGCAAACAGGAUUACGAUACCCUGGUAGUCCACACCGUAAACGAUGAAUUGCCAGACGUCGGGUAGCAU